CCAAUAGCGUAUAUUAAAGUUGCUGCAGUUAAAAAGCUCGUAGUUGAAUUUCGGGACUAAUAUGUCGGUCGUGCCUCGGUACGUACUGGUUUAUUGGUUUCUCCUUUCUGAAGAACCAUGAUGUCAUUUAUUUGGUGUCGUGGGGAAUCAGGACUGUUACUUUGAAAAAAUUAGAGUGUUUAAAGCAGGCUCACGCUUGAAUACAUUAGCAUGGAAUAAUGAAAUAGGACGUUUGAUUCUAUUUUGUUGGUUUCUAGGAUCGACGUAAUGAUUAAUAGGGAUAGUUGGGGGCAUUAGUAUUCAAUUGUCAGAGGUGAAAUUCUUGGAUUUAUUGAAGACUAACUACUGCGAAAGCAUUUGCCAAGGAUGUUUUCAUUAAUCAAGAACGGAAGUUAGGGGAUCGAAGACGAUCAGAUACCGUCGUAGUCUUAACCAUAAACUAUGCCGACUAGGGAUCGGAUGAUGUUAAUUUUUUAAUGACUCAUUCGGCGCCUUACG
rnacentral:rRNA from 1 species